UGUCGAUGUGACAGAACAGAUGAUUUGUCGAAGAGAUAAACUUCCAGAAACGUGAGAUUCUCUGUCGGCAAUGAGUUCACCGAUUUCCGAUUUCUCAAGUCAAGUUAUCUCACUAUGCUUGCCGGUAAAUCGCAGCAAGACGGGAAGCCACCCGGAAUCCCGGUGUAAACUGUGGCAAUAUCCCGUUGGGAAACCGGGCGAAAUCUCAGCAAGCGGGAAUAUCAGCAAGAUGCCCGCUGUUCAGGAAGUCGGAACCAAAACCGUCUCUCCAAGAACCUUUUUUCUUGCUCUAAAUUCUGGGUAAAUACUCGGAUGCUUCUACACUCUUGCUCAGCUGGGAGCGGUUUAUUUGUUUUUAUUAAAAACUGGAUCAUUGGAUAGUGCAGUUCAAGAGUUUUAUGUGGGUUAUGAGCCAUAAUACCAUGCCUCUACAAAUAUGGUUCGUGUACUCGUAACAUUGCGUUUGUUCUUAUAAAUAAAGUUAGGAAAAUUUAUCUA